UGUUUUUCCUCUGUUUUACUUUGAUGAUUGUUAUGUUAUGAAGCUUUUCUUGUAUAAAGCUCAAUUUCUCCAUGACCACGGAAGUAAACAUCCUGAUGCAUUCUUGUCAUGUGAAUGUUGAGAGCGUGUUCAUUUUUGAAAUCUCCUUUCUGACAGACCUAUCCCACGGGAUCAGCUGAGAUGUUAUUUCACUGGAUUAUUUAAUGGAUAGACUUAUUGGGCAUAUAUUUGGAUAUCUCUGUCCUCAACAUGGAAAAUAUGUUUUGUUCCUAACCAUCUAUAAUCAAUUCUCUAUGAAGUUCAGCCUGGCUGCUCUUCCUUUGGAAAUACACAGUUAGUCAAUCAACAUAGAAACACACAAACUUGAAGGAUAUUCUAGUGAGGGCUUGUGGAAAUGAUCUAUGUCUACUCUCAGAAUGGUGAAAGACUAUCAGAUUAUGCAAAGACUAACAGAAUAUCCUCUUUUGAAACACUGAAACAAGAAAAUCAAACAGGAUGGAGGAUUUAAGAAGCACAUAGAUAAAUAUGAUUUCCAACCAAUUUAACCAGUACCAUCAAAGACUGUGGUUUACAGGAUGACAAAGAAAGGACCCAGGAUUGUAUCUUUUACUGUCAGACACUAACUAUGAAUAAGAUGUAGCCAUUUAUCAAACUGAGAUCUAUAGUCAAAUCAAAUAUUGAAAAUAUGAUUUUCUGAUAGCAUGAAUUUAUUCUCACCAACUUCAAAGUAUCUAUAGCUGACUUUUUAUUUUUACCAACUCAUAUUGAAGACAGUUGUUAUGUAUGAGAAGUAUACAUUUAAACCUUUUAUUUUUCAUCUUAUUUCUAUAACCCCUUAGAAAUUACAUAGAUAUUCAGAUGCUAAAUUUGAUGUAAUUAUUACUUUCCUGGAAAUGUAAAUAUAUUUUAUUUGUGUAUAUGUGUGUAUUGUGCCCUAUAAUUAAAUUUAGAAAUUGAAAUAUGAUAAAGGUCCCUUAAUAUCCCACAUCAAGAUGCAGGUGCCCAAUAAUCUGUGAUGCAAUAAUAUCUUGAAUAUUAUUUAUUAUCUCAUACACUUCAUAUGCUUACUACACAGAAAAGGUUAGCGUAAUACACUUAGUUUUAUAGGACACUUUGUCAGGGUCAAAGCAUGAGAUUAUUGAGAUAACUACCUUUGACAAUAAUUUGCAAACUUUACAUCAUAAGAUUUGCUAUAGAUUUUUGGAUCAUUUACUCCUGAGUAAAAGUUAGUUCCUGAGAUUACUGAUUUGAAUCAUUUAAUGCAAUAACUUCAACAUUGUGUGAUAACUUAAAGACUUUAUAAAAAUUAGGUGCAAAUUCUUAGGAAAGUAUUGAAAUGUUAAUCAAAUGUACAAUAUUCAAGGGUGUUUAUAUGACUAUUACUAUGUAAUACCUUGGGUUUCUGUAAAAAUCCUAUAUUCACUACAUAGAUAAAGACCUGUAUAAUAUAUAUGUUGAACUAUGAUGAAGGAAAAAAAAAGGUCAAAAGCUCUCCCCUUUCAUUUCUUUCAUAUUCUGUCAUACACAACAAUAGAUAAAUUGCAGUCAUUUAUCAAACUGAGGUCUAAUCAAAUCCUAGAAUUGAUAUUGUGAUUUUCAGAUAGCAUGAGCUCUUUAAAAACUAAUUCUCACAGACCUCAAAGUAUCUACAGGUGACUUUUAUUUU